rnacentral:rRNA from 1 species
AACGAACGCUGGCGGCAGGCUUAACACAUGCAAGUCGAACGCCCCGCAAGGGGGGUGGCAGACGGGUGAGUAACGCGUGGGAAUCUACCCAGUUCUACGGAACAACACAGGGAAACUGGUGCUAAUACCGUAUACGCCCUACGGGGGAAAGAUUUAUCGGAAUUGGAUGAGCCCGCGUUGGAUUAGCUAGUUGGUGGGGUAAUGGCCUACCAAGGCGACGAUCCAUAGCUGGUCUGAGAGGAUGAUCAGCCACACUGGGACUGAGACACGGCCCAGACUCCUACGGGAGGCAGCAGUGGGGAAUAUUGGACAAUGGGCGCAAGCCUGAUCCAGCCAUGCCGCGUGAGUGAUGAAGGCCUUAGGGUUGUAAAGCUCUUUCGGUGGGGACGAUAAUGACGGUACCCACAGAAGAAGCCCCGGCUAACUUCGUGCCAGCCGCCGCGGUAACAC